CUAUCUCUAGCUGGAAGAGCUAUUCUGGUUCGAUCUGUUCUGCGUCCCCUGCCAAUCUACGCCAUGAGUGUCCUUCUCCUCCCUGCUGGAACCAUCCAGGAAAUCGAGAAACGUUGCAAGGCCUUCUUUUGGUCCGGCCAGGAAACGACAUCUGGUGGCAAUUGUAAGGUUGCCUGGCAAAUUGUUUGUGCUCCCUUCGCCAAUGGGGGCUUAGCUUUCUCUCUCUACCACACAUGA
rnacentral:rRNA from 1 species